GGGGCCUCCCAGUUGACGCUGUAGGAAGUAACAUCCAAAGCUUUAAGUUUCUUACAGACCAAAUGCCGAGAAAUUAAUGUAAUUCAAUUCUGAGGCUCGUUGAAAUGCCUAAGCAUGCUCUUGAAACCAUUGGCAGGAGUAGCAAUUUCCAGUACACCAGGCUUGGAAUUAUUGAACUACGGGAAGAGCCAGUGGAAAACACAGUGACACAUUAUAAGCAUACAGCCGAAUGCCUGAUCACACGGGCACAAACCUACGAUUCCUCCAUCCAGGAUGGGAUGACAUUGAACAGCGCAGACACCUUCGAAGCCCUCUGACCUCUUCCCCAUGCCUUUCCUGCCCAUAGAUAACCAUCAUGUUGGCUUCUAACCUGACGGAUUAGUACUUGAGUCUUAUGCAAAACGAAUCAUAUAUACGUAUUCUUUGUGUCUUGUUCCUUUCACUCAUGACGAUGCUGGUAAGUCUCAUCUCUUGUACGUAGUGGCGGUUUGUUCAUUACUUUGUGACGCCCCAUCGUAUUCCACAAUCUAUUGUCUCUCCACUGCACUGUGAUAAAAACUGUCCAUUUAUGGGGCAUCUGGGUGGCUCAAUUUCAUGUCAUUUGUAUGACAAUAUGGGGGCGAACUGGCAUACAAGGUGGGUCUCUCCCCUGUAACUUUCUCUGACAUCAUAUAUUUUUCAGCGUACCAAACACUGCAUGACAGUGACUUCCACGUCUGUAACAGGAAUAUACGUAACUUGUAAAGAUGUUAUAUUAAGUCAUGUAGUACUUUUGCUCUUUUUUAAAAAAGUUUAAAGCAAUCGUAAAAUUAUAAACAGGUUGUGAGACAGGACGAGGCUUUUAAAAAUCCUGAACUAUUCGAUGCUUCAUU